rnacentral:rRNA from 1 species
UAAGCGGAGGAAAAGAAACUAACAAGGAUUCCCCUAGUAACUGCGAGUGAAGCGGGAAAAGCUCAAAUUUAAAAUCUGGCGGUCUUUGGCCGUCCGAGUUGUAAUUUAGAGAAGCGUCUUCCGCGCUGGACCGUGCACAAGUCUCCUGGAAUGGAGCGUCAUAGAGGGUGAAAAUCCCGUCUUUGGCACGGAUGCCUGGUGCUUCUGUGAUGCGCUCUCGAAGAGUCGAGUUGUUUGGGAAUGCAGCUCAAAAUGGGUGGUGAACUCCAUCUAAAGCUAAAUAUUGGCGAGAGACCGAUAGCGAACAAGUACCGUGAGGGAAAGAUGAAAAGCACUUUGGAAAGAGAGUGAAACAGUACGUGAAAUUGUUGAAAGGGAAACGCUUGAAGUCAGUCGCGUCGACCGAGACUCAGCCUUGCCUUGGCUUGGUGUACUUCUCGGCCCGACGGGUCAGCAUCAAUUUUGCCCCUCGGAUAAUGGCAGGGGAAAGGUGGCACCUUUACGGGUGUGUUAUAGUCUCCUGUCGAAUGCGAGGGGUGGGAUUGAGGAACUCAGCGCGCACCUCAGUGUCGGGGCUUCGGCCCACGUCACGCGCUUAGGAUGCUGGCGUAAUGGCUUUAAACGACC